AGAGUUUGAUCCUGGCUCAGAUUGAACGCUGGCGGCAUGCCUUACACAUGCAAGUCGAACGGCAGCGGACCUUCGGGUGCCGGCGAGUGGCGAACGGGUGAGUAAUGUAUCGGAACGUACCUUUCAGUGGGGGAUAACGUAGCGAAAGUUACGCUAAUACCGCAUAUUCUGUGCGCAGGAAAGCAGGGGAUCGCAAGACCUUGCGCUGAUUGAGCGGCCGAUAUCAGAUUAGCUAGUUGGUGAGGUAAAGGCUCACCAAGGCGACGAUCUGUAGCGGGUCUGAGAGGAUGAUCCGCCACACUGGAACUGAGACACGGUCCAGACUCCUACGGGAGGCAGCAGUGGGGAAUUUUGGACAAUGGGGGCAACCCUGAUCCAGCCAUGCCGCGUGAGUGAAGAAGGCCUUCGGGUUGUAAAGCUCUUUCGGCCGGGAAGAAAUCGCAUGGGUUAAUACCCUGUGCGGAUGACGGUACCGGUAUA
rnacentral:rRNA from 1 species